GAUGAACGCUGGCGGCGUGCCUAAUACAUGCAAGUCGAGCGAACAGACGAGGAGCUUGCUCCUCUGACGUUAGCGGCGGACGGGUGAGUAACACGUGGAUAACCUACCUAUAAGACUGGGAUAACUUCGGGAAACCGGAGCUAAUACCGGAUAAUAUAUUGAACCGCAUGGUUCAAUAGUGAAAGACGGUUUUGCUGUCACUUAUAGAUGGAUCCGCGCCGCAUUAGCUAGUUGGUAAGGUAACGGCUUACCAAGGCGACGAUGCGUAGCCGACCUGAGAGGGUGAUCGGCCACACGUGAGCUGAGACGCGGUCCAGCCUCCGACGGGAGGCAGCAGUAGGGCAUCUUCCGCAAUGGGCGAAAGCCUGACGGAGCAACGCCGCGUGAGUGAUGAAGGUCUUCGGCUCGUAAAACUCUGUUAUUAGGGAAGAACAAAUGUGUAAGUAACUAUGCACGUCUUGACGGUACCUAAGCAGAAAGCCACGGCUAACUCCGU
rnacentral:rRNA from 1 species